rnacentral:ncRNA from 1 species
AUGGGAAAUUCAUCAUUAAAAUUGUAAUAUUUAAAUAAUAUAUUGAAGAAUAAUGUGCAUUUUUUCCAUAUAAGGACAUUGUAAUCUAUUAGCAUAUCCCAAAUUUAUCAUAAAAUAUAACUUAUAGUUUAUUCCAAUUAAAUUGCUUGCAUUUUAACACAGAAUAAAUGUUAUUAAUUUGAUAAAGUGCUGAUAGAUUUAUAUUAUUACAGAGCGUUAAUUUUUCGGAAUUAUAUAAUGGCAUAAUUAUCAUUGAUUUUUGUGUUUAUUAUAUGCUCUUGUAUGAUUAACAAUGCGAAAGAUUCAGGAUACCUUCGGGACCCGUCUUGAAACACGGACCAAGGAGUCUAACAUAUGUGCAAGUUAUUGGGAUGUAAACCUAAUAGCGUAAUUAACUUGACUAAUAAUGGGAUUAGUUUUUUAGCUAUUUAUAGCUAAUUAACACAAUCCCGGGGCGUUCUAUAUAGUUAUGUAUAAUGUAUAUUUAUAUUAUUUAUGCCUCUAACUGGAACGUACCUUGAGCAUAUAUGCUGUGACCCGAAAGAUGGUGAACUAUACUUGAUCAGGUUGAAGUCAGGGGAAACCCUGAUGGAAGACCGAAACAGUUCUGACGUGCAAAUCGAUUGUCAGAAUUGAGUAUAGGGGCGAAAGACCAAUCGAACCAUCUAGUAGCUGGUUCCUUCCGAAGUUUCCCUCAGGAUAGCUGGUGCAUUUUAAUAUUAUAUAAAAUAAUCUUAUCUGGUAAAGCGAAUGAUUAGAGGCCUUAGGGUCGAAACGAUCUUAACCUAUUCUCAAACUUUAAAUGGGUAAGAACCUUAACUUUCUUGAUAUGAAGUUCAAGGGUAUGAUAUAAUGUGCCCAGUGGGCCACUUUUGGUAAGCAGAACUGGCGCUGUGGGAUGAACCAAACGUAAUGUUACGGUGCCCAAAUUAACAACUCAUGCAGAUACCAUGAAAGGCGUUGGUUGCUUAAAACAGCAGGACGGUGAUCAUGGAAGUCGAAAUCCGCUAAGGAGUGUGUAACAACUCACCUGCCGAAGCAACUAGCCCUUAAAAUGGAUGGCGCUUAAGUUGUAUACCUAUACAUUACCGCUAAAGUAGAUGAUUUAUAUUACUUGUGAUAUAAAUUUUGAAACUUUAGUGAGUAGGAAGGUACAAUGGUAUGCUUAGAAGUGUUUGGCGUACGCCUGCAUGGAGCUGCCAUUGGUACAGAUCUUGGUGGUAGUAGCAAAUAAUCGAAUGAGACCUUGGAGGACUGAAGUGGAAAAAGGGUUUCGU